rnacentral:rRNA from 1 species
GACGUAGGGUGCGAGCGUUGUCCGGAUUUAUUGGGCGUAAAGAGCUCGUAGGCGGCUCGUCGCGUCGGCUGUGAAAACCCGCGGCUUAACUGUGGGCUUGCAGCUGAUACGGGCGGGCUAGAGUUCGGUAGGGGAGACUGGAAUUCCUGGUGUAGCGGUGGAAUGCGUAGAUAUCAGGAGGAACACCGAUGGCGAAGGCAGGUCUCUGGGCUGACACUGACGCUGAGGCGCGAAGGCGUGGGGAGCGAACGGG